UACGUAGGGUGCGAGCGUUGUCCGGAAUUAUUGGGCGUAAAGAGCUCGUAGGCGGUUUGUCGCGUCGGCUGUGAAAACUGGAGGCUUAACCUUCAGCGUGCAGUCGAUACGGGCAGACUUGAGUUCGGUAGGGGAGUCUGGAAUUCCUGGUGUAGCGGUGAAAUGCGCAGAUAUCAGGAAGAACACCCGUGGCUAAGGCGGUUCUCUAGUACGGUACUGACGCUGAGACGCGAAAGCGUGGGGGAGCGAACAGG
rnacentral:rRNA from 1 species